rnacentral:rRNA from 1 species
GUGCCAGCAGCCGCGGUAAUACAGAGGGUGCAAGCGUUGUUCGGAAUUAUUGGGCGUAAAGCGCGUGUAGGCGGCCCAGCCAGUCAGGUGUGAAAGCCCUCGGCUUAACCGAGGAAGUGCGCCUGAAACUACUGGGCUUGAGUACCGGAGAGGGCGGUGGAAUUCCCGGUGUAGAGGUGAAAUUCGUAGAUAUCGGGAGGAACACCAGCGGCGAAGGCGACCGCCUGGACGGCUACUGACGCUGAGACGCGAAAGCGUGGGGAGCAAACAGGAUUAGAUACCCCAGUAGUCC